rnacentral:rRNA from 1 species
UACAGAGGUCUCAAGCGUUUGUUCGGAAUUACUGGGCGUAAAGGGUGCGCAGGCCGCGCGGGCAGUCAAAUGUGUAAUCCAGGGGCUCAACCCCUGAACUGCGCUUGAUACUUCCGCGCUCGAGCUUUGGAGAGGAGUCUGGAAUUCUCGGUGUAGCAGUGAAAUGCGUGGAUAUCGAGAAGAACACUUAGGGCGUAGGCAAGACUCUGGACAAAUGCUGACGCUCAUGCACGAAGGCUAGGGUAGCGAACGGG